AUUGAACGCUGGCGGCAGGCCUAACACAUGCAAGUCGAGCGAGCGGCGGACGGGUGAGUAAUGUAUGGGGGCGGCCUGAAAGAGGGGGAUAACUACUGGAAACGGUGGCUAAUAGCGCAUACUAUCGGAUAACCCAUAGUGGAUUAGGUAGUGGGGGGGGUAAAGGCUCACCCAGGCGACGAUCUCUAGCUGGUCUGAGAGGAUGAUCAGCCACACUGCGACUCAGACACGGCCCAGACUCCUACGGAGGCAGCAGUGGGGAAUAUUGCACAAGGGGCGCAAGCCUGAUGCAGCCAUGCCGCGUGUAUGAAGAAGGCCUUAGGGUUGUAAAGUACUUUCAGCUGGGAGGCGUUACCCGCCGAAGAAGCACCGGCUAACUCCGUGCCAGCAGCCGCGGUAAUAC
rnacentral:rRNA from 1 species